rnacentral:rRNA from 1 species
UCGAGCGAGUCUGCCUUGAAGAUCGGAGUGCUUGCACUCUGUGAAACAAGAUACAGGCUAGCGGCGGACGGGUGAGUAACACGUGGGUAACCUGCCCAAGAGAUCGGGAUAACACCUGGAAACAGAUGCUAAUACCGGAUAACAACAGAUGAUGCCUAUCAACUGUUUAAAAGAUGGUUCUGCUAUCACUCUUGGAUGGACCUGCGGUACAUUAGCUAGUUGGUAGGGUAACGGCCUACCAAGGCGAUGAUGCAUAGCCGAGUUGAGAGACUGAUCGGCCACAUUGGGACUGAGACACGGCCCAAACUCCUACGGGAGGCAGCAGUAGGGAAUCUUCCACAAUGGACGCAAGUCUGAUGGAGCAACGCCGCGUGAGUGAAGAAGGGUUUCGGCUCGUAAAGCUCUGUUGUUGGUGAAGGAGGACAGGGGUAGUAACUGACCUUUGUUUGACGGUAAUCAAUUAGAAAGUCACGGCUAACUACGUGCCAGCAGCCGCGGUAAUACGUAGGUGGCAAGCGUUGUCCGGAUUUAUUGGGCGUAAAGCGAGUGCAGGCGGCUCGAUAAGUCUGAUGUGAAAGCCUUCGGCUCAACCGGAGAAUUGCAUCAGAAACUGUCGAGCUUGAGUACAGAAGAGGAGAGUGGAACUCCAUGUGUAGCGGUGAAAUGCGUAGAUAUAUGGAAGAACACCGGUGGCGAAGGCGGCUCUCUGGUCUGUUACUGACGCUGAGGCUCGAAAGCAUGGGUAGCGAACAGGAUUAGAUACCCUGGUAGUCCAUGCCGUAAACGAUGAGAGCUAAGUGUUGGGAGGUUUCCGCCU